GAUGAACGCUGGCGGCGUGCCUAACACAUGCAAGUCGAACGGUGAAGCAGGAGCUUGCUCUUGUGGAUCAGUGGCGAACGGGUGAGUAACACGUGAGCAACCUGCCCCUGACUCUGGGAUAAGCGCUGGAGACGGCGUCUAAUACUGGAUAUGUGAUGUGACCGCAUGGUCUGCAUCUGGAAAGAAUUUCGGUUGGGGAUGGGCUCGCGGCCUAUCAGCUUGUUGGUGAGGUAAUGGCUCACCAAGGCGUCGACGGGUAGCCGGCCUGAGAGGGUGACCGGCCACACUGGGGCUGAGCCACGGCCCAGACUCCUACGGGAGGCAGCAGUGGGGAAUAUUGCGCAAUGGGCGGAAGCCUGAUGCAGCAACGCCGCGUGAGGGAUGACGGCCUUCGGGUUGUAAACCUCUUUUAGCAGGGAAGAAGCGAAAGUGACGGUACCUGCAGAAAAAGCACCGGCUAACUACGUGCCAGCCGCCGCCGUAA
rnacentral:rRNA from 1 species